ACUCUAGUGGCGGACGGGUGAGUAACAAGAGGGCUUUCCCUUUAGGAGGGGGAUAACAAAUGGAAACGAAUGCUAAUACCCCAUAUGCUUUCGAGUGAAAUGGAUUUAUAUUUAUUCGCCUAGAGAGAAGCUCGCGGCUGAUUAGCUUGUUGGUAAGGUAAGAGCUUACCAAGGCGACGAUCAGUAUCUGGUUUGAGAGGACGAUCAGACACACUGGAACUGAGACACGGUCCAGACUCCUACGGGAGGCAGCAGUGGGGAAUUUUCCGCAAUGGGCGAAAGCCUGACGGAGCAAUACAGCGUGAGGGAAGACUGCCUAUGGGUUGUA
rnacentral:rRNA from 1 species